rnacentral:pre_miRNA from 1 species
GAGUUUUUGAUGUCGCAGAUACUGCAUCAGGAACUGAUUGGAUAAUAAUCAUUCACCAUCAGUUCCUAAUGCAUUGCCUUCAGCAUCUAAACA